UACGAAGGGGACUAGCGUUGUUCGGAAUUACUGGGCGUAAAGCGCACGUAGGCGGAUUUGUUAGUCAGGGGUGAAAUCCCGGGGCUCAACCUCGGAACUGCCUUUGAUACUGCAAGUCUCGAGUCCGAUAGAGGUGGGUGGAAUUCCUAGUGUAGAGGUGAAAUUCGUAGAUAUUCGGAAGAACACCAGUGGCGAAGGCGACAUACUGGUCCGUUACUGACGCUGAGGCUCGAAAGCGUGGGGAGCAAACAGGG
rnacentral:rRNA from 1 species